rnacentral:rRNA from 2 species
AGCAGUCGAACGGUGGAGCCAAGCUUGCUUGGUGGAUCAGUGGCGAACGGGUGAGUAACACGUGAGCAACCUGCCCUGGACUCUGGGAUAAGCGCUGGAAACGGCGUCUAAUACUGGAUAUGAGACGUGAUCGCAUGGUCGUGUUUGGAAAGAUUUUUCGGUCUGGGAUGGGCUCGCGGCCUAUCAGCUUGUUGGUGAGGUAAUGGCUCACCAAGGCGUCGACGGGUAGCCGGCCUGAGAGGGUGACCGGCCACACUGGGACUGAGACACGGCCCAGACUCCUACGGGAGGCAGCAGUGGGGAAUAUUGCACAAUGGGCGGAAGCCUGAUGCAGCAACGCCGCGUGAGGGAUGACGGCCUUCGGGUUGUAAACCUCUUUUAGCAGGGAAGAAGCGAAAGUGACGGUACCUGCAGAAAAAGCGCCGGCUAACUACGUGCCAGCAGCCGCGGUAAUACGUAGGGCGCAAGCGUUAUCCGGAAUUAUUGGGCGUAAAGAGCUCGUAGGCGGUUUGUCGCGUCUGCUGUGAAAUCCCGAGGCUCAACCUCGGGCCUGCAGUGGGUACGGGCAGACUAGAGUGCGGUAGGGGAGAUUGGAAUUCCUGGUGUAGCGGUGGAAUGCGCAGAUAUCAGGAGGAACACCGAUGGCGAAGGCAGAUCUCUGGGCCGUAACUGACGCUGAGGAGCGAAAGGGUGGGGAGCAAACAGGCUUAGAUACCCUGGUAGUCCACCCCGUAAACGUUGGGAACUAGUUGUGGGGACCAUUCCACGGUUUCCGUGACGCAGCUAACGCAUUAAGUUCCCCGCCUGGGGAGUACGGCCGCAAGGCUAAAACUCAAAGGAAUUGACGGGGACCCGCACAAGCGGCGGAGCAUGCGGAUUAAUUCGAUGCAACGCGAAGAACCUUACCAAGGCUUGACAUAUACGAGAACGGGCCAGAAAUGGUCAACUCUUUGGACACUCGUAAACAGGUGGUGCAUGGUUGUCGUCAGCUCGUGUCGUGAGAUGUUGGGUUAAGUCCCGCAACGAGCGCAACCCUCGUUCUAUGUUGCCAGCACGUAAUGGUGGGAACUCAUGGGAUACUGCCGGGGUCAACUCGGAGGAAGGUGGGGAUGACGUCAAAUCAUCAUGCCCCUUAUGUCUUGGGCUUCACGCAUGCUACAAUGGCCGGUACAAAGGGCUGCAAUACCGUAAGGUGGAGCGAAUCCCAAAAAGCCGGUCCCAGUUCGGAUUGAGGUCUGCAACUCGACCUCAUGAAGUCGGAGUCGCUAGUAAUCGCAGAUCAGCAACGCUGCGGUGAAUACGUUCCCGGGUCUUGUACACACCGCCCGUCAAGUCAUGAAAGUCGGUAACACCUGAAGCCGGUGGCCCAACCCUUGUGGAGGGAGCCUA